AUGGGCAGUGCUGUACAGGGCAGUGUCAAUGGGCAGUGCUGUACAGGGCAGUGUCAGUGGGUAGUGCUGUACAGGGCAGUGUCAGUUGGUAGUGCUGUACAGGGCAGUGUCAAUGGGUAGUUCUUCUAACAGUAGUUAAAGAGACUGCGGCCUAUAAUGGCCAGGGUUUCAUCAAAGGGCAAGGAUGCUUUCGUCAUUGUUGUUUUUGUGUGCUGUUGUUCUAUUAAAAACCUAACAGACUUCAGUAGGUAAAAGGUAUGAAUUCACUAGCUGCUAGUUUGUUUAAUGUACUUGGUUCCUUCACGCAGUCUGCUCAUCAUGAGAAGAAACAGAUACAGGAGUGCCUUUCACUUGCAGCACGGUCAGCUGGUAACCAAUUCCAUGAACACAACGCUCUUCCAAUGGGCUUGUGUUGUAAAAAGGGCCGCGCUGAAUAAACUUCACUGUAUAAUCUAAGAUUGAGUGAUUCUGAAGUUAGUGGUGUGCGUUAAGUAACCGGGAGGACUCGGAGCGAGAAUUUUUCCACUCUCUCAAAUCACAGAUGAAAUCUGCUUCAGUGGGUUCUUUCACUUAGCUGCUCAUAGAGAGACUUGGUUCCUUAAUGCACCCACAGAUUAUCUAUCAAAGCUAGACUGUUCAUCCCUGACCAAUCGAUGCAUUGUGCUGUGCCCCACAGUAGAAGUGGCCCAGAAGACGCGCUCUCAAGUCUCCCUGAUUCCUACUCUAGUUAGAACCCAAGCCUCCCGUCGCGGCUUCAGUACAAGCAAGACAGUGCCCCCCAUUCCACGGGGGCCCAGCCUGUCUGGCCUCGCUGACGGAGGAGCUCAAGACCACAAGAAGGAGUCACGAGGUCUGUGGGAGAGAGCUUUUUCUUUCUCUUCUUUCUCUUUCUUUCUUCAUAGAAAUAUAACUUCAUCGAGGAUCCUGCUUCUUCAGGUUCACAGCUGGGUGGCACAGGGAUAUGAAAUGACUUUGUGGAUAAGCUGGGAUAUUUACCCAGAGGUCUGCUAGCUCUUGUGUAGUGAUUUGACCACUAAACCCAACUUUCUCUGAGUUACAGGUAGAGAUUAUGUCCUGGGGCUUUUGGUUGGUUAUGCCAGUUUGUUAUGGGUAGUGUAAAUGGGUAGUGCUGUUCAGUUCAGAGUAGCAGCCAGUGGUGGCCAGGGUCUUUCAUCAAAGGGCAAGGAUGCUUUUGUCAUUGACGUUGUUGUCAUCGUCGUUGUUGUCUUUGUUUUGUGUGCUAUUACUCUAUUAAAGUGCUAAGCAAAACAUAUAAGAAACGUAAGUAAGUAAGUCUAAACGUUUGUCUGCUUGACAUGGUCCAAUCGAUGCAUUGUGCUGUGCCCCACAGUAGAAGUGACCCAGAAGACGUGCUUUCAAGUCUCCCUGAUUCCUACUCUAGUUAGAACCCAAGCCUCCCGUCGCGGCUUCAGUACAAGCAAGACAGUGCCCCCCAUUCCACGGGGGCCCAGCCUGUCUGGCCUCGCUGACGGAGGAGCUCAAGACCACAAGAAGGAGUCACGAGUAGAAGUGGCCCAGAAGACGCGCUCUCAAGUCUCCCUGAUUCCUACUCUAGUUAGAACCCAAGCCUCCCGUCGCGGCUUCAGUACGAGCAAGACAGUGCCCCCCAUUCCACGGGGGCCCAGCCUGUCUGGCCUCGCUGACGGAGGAGCUCAAGACCUCAAGAAGGAGUCACGAGUAGAAGUGACCCAGAAGACGCGCUCUCAAGUCUCCCUGAUUCCUACUCUAGUUAGAACCCAAGCCUCCCGUCGCGGCUUCAGUACGAGCAAGACAGUGCCCCCCAUUCCACGGGGGCCCAGCCUGUCUGGCCUCGCUGACGGAGGAACUCAAGACCACAAGAAGGAGUCACAAGGUCUGUGGGGUUAGGGUUAGAGCUUUUAACUAUUUAUUUUUCUCUUUCUUUUUCCCCUAUGUGGAUAAGCCGAGUUACGUACAAAACAUUAGAAGUCCCUUCAGCUUUGGCCAGCUGAAUCUUACAAGAUGAUAACGGCUUCACCAACAACCCACGCUUUCACCACAGAGCUCCCCAAUUUAAUCAUCAAACACUGGCAGCGUCCUGUCGCUUGUUACCCCCGUUACAAAACUUGCAAUAUCUUUACAUGAAGCCAAGGAACA